rnacentral:tRNA from 1 species
GCCGUUGUAGCUCAGCUGGUAGAGCGCUUCCAUGGUAAGGAAGAGGUCCCGGGUUCGAUUCCCGGCAAUGGCUCCA